rnacentral:rRNA from 1 species
GAUGAACGCUAGCUACAGGCUUAACACAUGCAAGUCGAGGGGCAGCAUUUCGCUAGCAAUAGUGAAGAUGGCGACCGGCGCACGGGUGAGUAACACGUAUCCAACCUGCCGAUAACUCGGGGAUAGCCUUUCGAAAGAAAGAUUAAUAUCCGAUGGUAUAUUAAAACCGCAUGGUUUUACUAUUAAAGAAUUUCGGUUAUCGAUGGGGAUGCGUUCCAUUAGUUUGUUGGCGGGGUAACGGCCCACCAAGACUACGAUGGAUAGGGGUUCUGAGAGGAAGGUCCCCCCANAUUGGAACUGAGACACGGUCCAAACUCCUACGGGAGGCAGCAGUAAGGAAUAUUGGUCAAUGGACGAGAGUCUGAACCAGCCAAGUAGCGUGCAGGAUGACGGCCCUAUGGGUUGUAAACUGCUUUUAUAAGGAAUAAGUGAGUCUCGUGAGGCUUUUUGCAUGUACCUUAUGAAU